UACGUAGGGUGCGAGCGUUAAUCGGAAUUACUGGGCGUAAAGCGUGCGCAGGCGGUUUUUUAAGACAGGUGUGAAAUCCCCGGGCUUAACCUGGGAACUGCAUUUGUGACUGCAUAGCUAGAGUACGGUAGAGGGGGAUGGAAUUCCGCGUGUAGCAGUGAAAUGCGUAGAUAUGCGGAGGAACACCGAUGGCGAAGGCAAUCCCCUGGACCUGUACUGACGCUCAUGCACGAAAGCGUGGGGAGCAAACAGG
rnacentral:rRNA from 1 species